rnacentral:rRNA from 1 species
AUUGAACGCUGGCGGCAUGCCUUACACAUGCAAGUCGAACGGCAGCACGGGGGCAACCCUGGUGGCGAGUGGCGGACGGGUGAGUAACACAUCGGAACGUGCCCUGGAGUGGGGGAUAACGCAGCGAAAGCUACGCUAAUACCGCAUAUUCUGUGAGCAGGAAAGCAGGGGAUCGCAAGACCUUGCGCUUUGGGAGCGGCCGAUGUCGGAUUAGCUAGUUGGUGGGUAAAGGCUUACCAAGGCGACGAUCCGUAGCGGGUCUGAGAGGAUAAUCCGCCACACUGGGACUGAGACACGGCCCAGACUCCUACGGGAGGCAGCAGUGGGGAAUUUUGGACAAUGGGCGGAAGCCUGAUCCAGCCAUGCCGCGUGAGUGAAGAAGGCCUCGGUGUAGGU